rnacentral:rRNA from 1 species
GACGAACGCUGGCGGCGUGCCUAAUACAUGCAAGUAGAACGCUGAAGAGAGGAGCUUGCUCUUCUUGGAUGAGUUGCGAACGGGUGAGUAACGCGUAGGUAACCUGCCUUGUAGCGGGGGAUAACUAUUGGAAACGAUAGCUAAUACCGCAUAACAAUGGAUGACACAUGUCAUUUAUUUGAAAGGGGCAAUUGCUCCACUACAAGAUGGACCUGCGUUGUAUUAGCUAGUAGGUGAGGUAAUGGCUCACCUAGGCGACGAUACAUAGCCGACCUGAGAGGGUGAUCGGCCACACUGGGACUGAGACACGGCCCAGACUCCUACGGGAGGCAGCAGUAGGGAAUCUUCGGCAAUGGGGGCAACCCUGACCGAGCAACGCCGCGUGAGUGAAGAAGGUUUUCGGAUCGUAAAGUUCUGUUGUUAGUCAAGAACGGGUGUGAGAGUGGAAAGUUCACACUGUGACGGUAGCUUACCAGAAAGGGACGGCUAACUACGUG